rnacentral:tRNA from 1 species
GCUUCUAAAGGAUAACAGUUAUCCACUGGUCUUAGGAUCCAAAAACUCUUGGUGCAAAUCCAAGUAGCAGCU